UACGGAGGGAGCUAGCGUUGUUCGGAAUUACUGGGCGUAAAGCGCGCGUAGGCGGCUUUGUAAGUUAGAGGUGAAAGCCCGGGGCUCAACCCCGGAACUGCCUUUAAGACUGCAUCGCUUGAAUCCAGGAGAGGUGAGUGGAAUUCCGAGUGUAGAGGUGAAAUUCGUAGAUAUUCGGAAGAACACCAGUGGCGAAGGCGGCUCACUGGACUGGUAUUGACGCUGAUGCGCGAAAGCCAGGGGAGCAAACGGG
rnacentral:rRNA from 1 species